rnacentral:rRNA from 1 species
AUUGAACGCUGGCGGCAUGCCUAACACAUGCAAGUCGAACGAUAACAUGGAGCAGCUUGCCGUUUCGCUGACGAGUGGCGGACGGGUGAGUCAUGUCUGUGAAACUACUUGAUGAAGGGGGUUAACUACUGGAAACGGUACCUAAUACCGCAUAUCUUUGCAAGACCAAAGUGCGGGAGUUUCAGGCCUUUUUCCAUCGGCUGAGCGCAGAUGCGAUUAGCUAUUAGGUGGUGUAACGGCUUACCUAGUCGACGAUCCCUAGCUGGUCUGAGAGGGUGACCAGCCACACUGGAACUGAGACACGGUCCAGACUCCUACGGGAGGCAGCAGUGGGGAAUCUUGCGCAAUGGGCGAAAGCCUGAUGCAGCAAUGCCGCGUGUAUGAAGAAGGACUUCGGGUUGUAAAGUACUGUAAGCGGGGAGGAAGGAAGGAAAUUUUAUCCCUUUGCUUAUUGACGGUACCCGAAGAAAAAGCCCCGGCUAACUCCGUG